CCUACGGGAGGCAGCAGUGGGGGAUAUUGCACAAUGGGGGAAACCCUGAUGCAGCGACGCCGCGUGUGGGAAGAUGGUCCUCUGGAUUGUAAACCACUGUCACCAGGGACGAAGAUGACGGUACCUGGGGAGGAAGCUCCGGCUAACUACGUGCCAGCAGCCGCGGUAAUAGGUAGGGAGCGAGCGUUGUCCGGAAUUACUGGGUGUAAAGGGAGCGUAGGCGGGACUGCACGUUGGGUGUCAAAUCUACCGGCUCAACCGGUAGCCGCACUCAAAACUGCAGUUCGUGAGUGAAGUAGAGGCAGGCGGAAUUCCUAGUGUAGCGGUGAAAUGCGUAGAUAUUAGGAGGAACACCAGUGGCGAAGGCGGCCUGCUGGGCUUUUACUGACGCUGAGGCUCGAAAGUGUGGGGAGCAAACAGGAUUAGAUACCCCAGUAGUC
rnacentral:rRNA from 1 species